UACGUAGGUGGCAAGCGUUGUCCGGAUUGACUGGGCGUAAAGCGCACGCAGGCGGUUGCGCGCGUGGGGUGUGAAAUCUGGCCGCUUAACGGCCAGGCGCCAUCCCAUACGGCGCGACUGGAGUGAUGCAGAGGUCGAUGGAAUUGCCGGUGUAGUGGUGAAAUGCGUAGAGAUCGGCAGGAACACCCAGGGGGAAACCAGUCGACUGGGCAUCUACUGACGCUGAGGUGCGAGAGCGUGGGGAGCGAACCGG
rnacentral:rRNA from 1 species